AACGUAGGAGACAAACGUUAUCCGGAGUUACUGGGCGUAAGGGCGUGUAGGUGGUUUCGUAAGUCUGGCGUGAAAUUUCUCGGCUUAACCGAGGCAGGUCGUCGGAUACUGCGGAACUUGAGGACGGUAGAGGCGUGUGGAAUUCCGGGUGUAGUGGUGAAAUGCGUAGAGAUCCGGAGGAACACCAGUGGCGAAGGCGACACGCUGGGCCGUACCUGACACUGAUGCGCGACAGCAUGGGGAGCAAACAGG
rnacentral:rRNA from 1 species